UUACAAUGGAGAGUUUGAUCCUGGCUCAGGAUGAACGCUAGCGGCAGGCCUAAUACAUGCAAGUCGAACGGAUACCUUCGGGUAUUAGUGGCG
rnacentral:rRNA from 1 species